CAUGAAGAGCAGGCAGUGAGAAAGCUGCAUGUGCUCUUGCACGCAGGCCGGACCGGGGUCCAGGAUCAACACUGCCAUCCUGAGAAGUCUCCCAGCAGCUAAAUAUACCCGCGGAGCUGUCACGUGGCGGGCGGCUUUCCCAGGAGAAGAGCCCAUCUUUGGCAAAGGCUGGCAGUGGGGCCCCAUUGCGGCACAAGCCUCCCCAGGUCAGCCACCACCUCAGAGUCUACACCUCAAGGUGCUUCCGCUGCUGUAACCUGGGCCGGGUUUUGGAUCUGCAGGCUCAACCCUUCUCUGGCCUCGAAGGCUCUCUGGCCUUGGCCCAGGUGUCAGGAUCCUGCCAGCCCCAGGCUGGGGGCUGUGUCUGCCCCGACGUAGUUGGAAAACUGGAAUCUGAGCAACCGUGAGCUCCAGGCAGAAGAAUUUCAGCAGUUACACUGCACCCUGGCAAGAGGAUUGUAGGCUCAAUGCGGAGAGCUAGUGAUUUUGCCAACUUCCUGGAUGUUCGUUCCUGGUCCUGCACCAAACAGCCACAUUUCCUUUUGGAACCGGGACCAGGACAGAGGCGGCGGCAGACACGGGAUGUUGUUGUGAGGAUUCGAGAUUGUGAAUGAAAAGGCUGGGCCUGUGGAAUACGCUAUCUCUGGGUCAGUUCCCAGAAGCCCAGAAAUGAACGGCCAGAGCGGCCACCGGACAUCGCUUUUCAGCCACCAGGGGCCACCGGGCAUCACAUCUCGGCCACCCACAAGCCGGGCAACCCUGGGAUGGGAUGAGGACACAGACCUGCACAGAGGGGAAGACCUUGUGAAGACUCGGAAGGGAUAGCCAUCGACACGCCAAGGAGAGAGCUCCGGAGAAACCCGCCCUGCUGACACCUCCGGCUCCAAAUUCCAGAUGAUCUGGGCUGCUUUGUCACGGCAGCCUGAGCAAAGCAACAUGGGAAUUUGCCUGUGUGCUGAGCAGCGUGUGCUUUACAAUGACUGACAGUCUGUCCCAAGCCCCUCCAAGGCGAGCACGUCCCAUUUGGCUUCUCAUAGUCAUCAAAGCAUUGCGUUCCCAUUUCACAGAUGUGGAAACUGAGGCUAAGCAAAUAGCCCAGGGUCAGAUAGCUAGGAUGUGUGGAGAGAGAAUGUUUCCCGGAGUUGGGGCACUCAAACCCGGCUGCACAGAGGAAAUCAGCUGCGAAGUCUUAAAAUACUGAUCCCACCCUGAACGAAGGGAGUUAGAGGAUGGGCAGCAAUUCUCAAGGCACCCCAGUGAUUUUCACCUAGAGCAGUGGUUCUCAACCUUGGCUGCACAUUAGAAUCACCUGGGAAUCUUUUUAAAAUCCUGAUUUCU